UGACAAUCGCUACUAAGGCAAAAAUUUUUUGCCUAUAGUUAGGUAGUAAUGGCACGCAGCCCUUCAAAAACUGUUAAAUAAUGGCUGUUAUUUGAAAUCAUGUUAUUAGCUAUCAUGAUACAUGUUAGGAAUGUCUUGUGAGAAGCUGAUGCAAGUUGAUUUUGGCUAAAUCAAAGGAAGAAAAUAAGAAGAGAGAGCAAUGGAGAAGGGAGAGAUUAUGUUGAAAGGAACAAUCUUAGUGAUUAAUGUUGAUUGAUUAUUAACAAACUCCUAAUCAUGGCAGCAAGGGAAACUUCCACCAACAGCUUCAACUAAUCCUAACUGCUUAUUAUUGAAUUGGACUUCAUUACUGGAUUUGAUUGAACUUCAAUUAGAAAUGGGCUGAAGUCAUAUAGUUACGGCAUUUUUCACAUAUUAGAAGCUAUUAGGUUCAUAGCCAAUCUUUUGAUGUGCUUCCAUUUGGACUGCUCUGUCUCUGACGAUGACAUGGAAAUUGAUUGCUUUCUG
rnacentral:misc_RNA from 1 species